UACGGGGGGGGCAAGCGUUGUUCGGAAUUACUGGGCGUAAAGGGCUCGUAGGCGGCCAACUAAGUCAGACGUGAAAUCCCUCGGCUUAACCGGGGAACUGCGUCGGAUACUAUUCGGCUAGAGGAAUGGAGGGGAGACUGGAAUACUUGGUGUAGCAGUGAAAUGCGUAGAUAUCAAGUGGAACACCAGUGGCGAAGGCGAGUCUCUGGACAUUUCCUGACGCUGAGGCACGAAAGCCAGGGGAGCAAACGGG
rnacentral:rRNA from 1 species